rnacentral:tRNA from 1 species
UCUGAUGGUAAAGAAUCUGCCUGCAAUGCAGGAGGCCAGGGUUCGAUCCCUG